ACAUGCACCGGGGCUUGGUUGGAUCGGGCAAGAGGCGGACACUGUAGAAAUCAAAACCAAUGUAGGUUCCGUUCGGGCUAUUUACGAGAAGCCGCUCGGACGAAAGCCGAAAAGAAGCCGGAGGCGGAGGUGGAUGCUUCCGGCGGAGAGUGGCUGAUGGAAGCUUUACGGUGAAUAGAGGUUUGCUGGUCUUUGCGCAAGGAGGUUGAGGCGUUUGCUGGCUUGAGGCUUGUUCAGUGCUUGGCUUGCCGGUGGAUAGAGACAGACGAACAAUUGAUCUUUUCUUGCUUGGGAGAAAACUAAGGAAAAACCAGAGCCGAAACUUUUGCACCACAGCCAAGAUCUAACUCCCCCAACCCUUCGUCGCUUUUACCUGUUCGUGAACCAGGCCAAGUCCUGUUCAACCCUUCGCCGUCCGCACACCGGUACCGGACCCAACGCCGACUCCUCUUGCUGCCUUCGCUGACCUAUCCGCCCUCCUCUGAGGAAGACGAUGAAGUUUUCCUUUACAAAGAUCUCAUUUUGAAGACUGAAUCUUGUGGUAGUUCUUCGGCACUCCAUCUUGAACUUCUAGCUCAUUUGCAAUAAUCCAUGUAUCAUCUUCUAGCUAAACUCUUUACUUUUUCUAGUCCAACUUGCAUCUUCCAAGCUUGAUGGAGAUGAUCUACUCUGCAAGAAGUUGUUUAACCUAGUGCUACUGGUGUUUUCUGUUCAAGUGGUUAUUGGAGAAAUAUAUAUCCUAGUGUAGUGAAGGAUCCUUUCAGGUAAAAAGAUAAGGUAAUUAAUGCAUGGACUAGUUGAAUGUGUUCCAAAUAUCUUAGAAAAUCUUGGAACAAGAUGAAGAAGCCUAAUCUUAUUGUUAAAACAUGAAUUGUAACUGGUUAAAGUAUUUACAACCGAUACUCUCUGUGAAAAUGAUUUGAAUUCUGCCAAAUAGUAGUUAUGAUUUAGUUUGCAUAUAAUUCAUCUUUUAAUA